GAUGAACGCUAGCUACAGGCUUAACACAUGCAAGUCGAGGGGUAACAUUGGCUGAGCUUGCUCAGCCAGAUGACGACCGGCGCACGGGUGAGUAACGCGUAUCCAACCUGCCCAUGGGUCAGGGAUAACCUUCCGAAAGGGAGCCUAAUACCGGAUAAAUGAUCGGGAGGCAUCUCCUGAUUCUAAAAGGGGCCUUUAAAGCCUCGCUGAAAGAUGGACCUGCGGCGCAUUAGCUAGUUGGUGAGAUAACAGCCCACCAAGGCGAGGAUGCGUAGCCGACCUGAGAGGGUGAACGGCCACACUGGAACUGAGACACGGUCCAGACUCC
rnacentral:rRNA from 1 species